rnacentral:hammerhead_ribozyme from 1 species
GCACUGCUGACGAGUCCAAAACAGGAUGAAACAGCUGUUCAGUUC